AUGCCCGGUGGCCCCUGGCUCUCCUUUGCCCUCGCGUCUCAUGCCAGGUGGGGGCACAGGCGUGGCCAUCUUACGGGCAGGGCCGCGGCGGUGGGCGGCCCCAGGCACAAGGUUUGUUUGCUACAGGGGAGCCCGGGCCCCAGCACAGACGGGGGGUGGAUUUGCUUUCUGUUGCGAGGAGGAAGAAGCCUCAAGCUGGCUACGAUUUAUAUGAGGGCACCAGGGAACAUAAACAGAGUAGGAGGGGACAGGCCAUCACAGGCCAGCAGUGCCUGGACACAGUCCAGCCUGGGCUGGCCCUGGCACCUGAGAGGCCAGCCUGGUGAGGGCGGUGAGGACGGCCAUAGCUGGGUGGAGCAGGCCCCGUGGGUUUCAUUCCGAAAGCUGCUUAAUCCAGCGGAGGGGGGGCGGGGGGGCCACUCCCAGACUCCAGGAAUCUGCCAGGGCCGGCCCCUCCCCUCCACCUUGACAGAGCCAGGCCCCACCCCUCACGGCAGCCUGUCCCACCCACCUGGGGUUAGAGUGCCUGAAGUGGCAGGUCUAGACACCAGGGGUGCCGGGAAGACCAGAAAAGCAACCCAGCCCCGGGAAGUCCCUGAGCCCGUGCACCGGCGUCCUUCUCCAAGGGCGGCCGCAGGAGCGAUGCCUGCCCACCAGGUGGAUCUCGUGCAGAGAGGCGGCCCCUCCUCCGGCACUUCAGAACCCUUCUGGACGCCAGCCUCACGAGCAGCUGGGCCCAGGAGACACCCACAGGGGCCGCCACUCCCCACGCCUCCAAGUCCCCAGGGGCGGGAAGAGCCGCCCUGGCUGGCUGUGCCCACCACUCCCAGAUUCCCACAGCCCAUGGCUCAAAAUGGAAAUGGAGCGCCCAGAAGAAAAACAUUAGCAGUUUGUCUGGCUUGCCUCGUGCCCGCCCCCCAGUGGCAGGACCUCCGCCGGGCGAAGCCACACUUCCUUCACUCAGUAAUCCAAGGACGGAAGCGAUGGCUAAGCCUGCACCUUUGCCCACGGCACGCAACCUCUGGAAUCUCUCCGCCCCUCUCGGAGACCACGUUUGGGAUGAGUCACAGAUGUCAUCAAGUCCAUUAG
rnacentral:lncRNA from 1 species